rnacentral:rRNA from 1 species
GCUUGCUUCUUCUGAUUUAGCGGCGGACGGGUGAGUAACACGUGGGCAACCUGCCCUGUAGAUUGGGAUAACUCCGGGAAACCGGGGCUAAUACCGAAUAAUCCAUUUCUUCACAUGAAGAGAUGUUAAAAGACGGUUUCGGCUGUCACUACAGGAUGGGCCCGCGGCGCAUUAGCUAGUUGGUGGGGUAAUGGCUCACCAAGGCGACGAUGCGUAGCCGACCUGAGAGGGUGAUCGGCCACACUGGGACUGAGACACGGCCCAGACUCCUACGGGAGGCAGCAGUAGGGAAUCUUCCACAAUGGACGAAAGUCUGAUGGAGCAAUGCCGCGUGAGUGAAGAAGGUUUUCGGAUCGUAAAACUCUGUUGUGAGGGAAGAACAAGUACGAGAGUAACUGCUCGUACCUUGACGGUACCUCAUUAGAAAGCCACGGCUAACUACGUGCCAGCAGCCGCGGUAAUACGUAGGUGGCAAGCGUUGUCCGGAAUUAUUGGGCGUAAAGCGCGCGCAGGCGGUCCUUUAAGUCUGAUGUGAAAGCCCACGGCUCAACCGUGGAAGGUCAUUGGAAAC